rnacentral:rRNA from 1 species
UACGAAGGGGGCUAGCGUUGUUCGGAAUUACUGGGCGUAAAGCGCGCGCAGGCGGCCAUUCAAGUCAGGGGUGAAAGCCCAGAGCUCAACUCUGGAACUGCCCUUGAAACUGCAUGGCUUGAGUACGAGAGAGGUGAGUGGAAUUCCCAGUGUAGAGGUGAAAUUCGUAGAUAUUCGCAAGAACACCAGUGGCGAAGGCGGCCAACUGGACCAAUACUGACGCUGAGGCGCGAAAGCGUGGGGAGCAAACAGG